rnacentral:rRNA from 1 species
UACGUAGGGUGCAGGCGUUAAUCGGAAUUACUGGGCGUAAAGCGUGCGCAGGCGGUUUGCUAAGACAGGUGUGAAAUCCCCGGGCUUAACCUGGGAACUGCGCUUGUUACUGGCAAGCUGGAGUGUGGCAGAGGGGGGUGGAAUUCCGGCGUGUAGCAGUGAAAUGCGUAGAUAUGCGGAGGAACACCGAUGGCGAAGGCAAUCCCCUGGGCCUGCACUGACGCUCCAUGCACGAAAGCGUGGGGAGCAAACAG